rnacentral:rRNA from 1 species
AUUGAACGCUGGCGGCAGGCCUAACACAUGCAAGUCGAACGGUAACAGGAAGAAGCUUGCUUCUUUGCUGACGAGUGGCGGACGGGUGAGUAAUGUCUGGGAAACUGCCUGAUGGAGGGGGAUAACUACUGGAAACGGUAGCUAAUACCGCAUAACGUCGCAAGACCAAAAAGGGGGACCUUCGGGCCUCUUGCCAUCGGAUGUGCCCAGAUGGGAUUAGCUAGUAGGUGGGGUAACGGCUCACCUAGGCGACGAUCCCUAGCUGGUCUGAGAGGAUGACCAGCCACACUGGACCUGAGACACGGUCCAGACUCCUACGGGAGGCAGCAGUGGGGAAUAUUGCACAAUGGGCGCAAGCCUGAUGCAGCCAUGCCGCGUGUAUGAAGAAGGCCUUCGGGUUGUAAAGUACUUUCAGCGGGGAGGAAGGGAGUAAAGUUAAUACCUUUGCUCAUUGACGUUACCCGCAGAAGAAGCACCGGCUAACUCCGU